GGAGAGGAGGAGGAGGGAAGGAGGCUCAGGUCGGGAGGAGGCGCCGGGCACAACCGCACGCCACGGUCGGUGGGCAGCGGGAGCUGCAGGAGACGGGAGCCCCAGGGGAUGAGGGAGCCCGCAGCCCCACCGCCGGGAAACUUUGCCGAUCCGGAGACUCAGGCCUGACAGCCGAACUGACGAACGGACCAACCAGCCAACCUCCGCACCUUCCUCCUUCAAUCUCAAUCCCACUCCACCCCCCUCGCUGCCUUCCCCUCCCAUCGACCUGGAUCGCGCUGUGUCUGACUGAUGGGGCAGCGGGCCACUCGGAAGAGGGGAGUCUGACUGACCGGGUUUUGGAGACUUGAAAUGUAUCAAAGUACUGAAGAUCACACAUCAACAACCAGUAGAGCUGAUCUGACUACUUAUUUGAAUUUUGCUUUCUCUUGUACCUUGCUUCAAACUUACGUAUCUUUCACACUGUGCACUGAAUCAGGUAAGAUAAAGGAAAUACUGUAUAUGUUGCAAUAUUCAAUUUUGAACAAAGUCAAAUAUUUCACACU
rnacentral:lncRNA from 1 species